rnacentral:rRNA from 1 species
CCAAUAGCGUAUAUUAAAGUUGUUGCAGUUAAAAAGCUCGUAGUUGAAUUUUAGGCCUGGCCGGGCGGUCCGUCUUUGGCGAGUACUGUCCUGUGUCGGGUCCACCUUCUGGUGAACCAGUAUGUCCUUUAUUGGGUGUGCCGGGGAGCCAGGACCAUUACCUUGAAAAAAUUAGAGUGUUUAAAGCAGGCAUUUGCUUGAAUAGAUUAGCAUGGAAUAAUAGAAUAGGACGUUGUGGUUCUAUUUUGUUGGUUUCUAGGACCACCGUAAUGAUUAAUAGGGAUAGUUGGGGGCAUUAGUAUUCAAUUGUCAGAGGUGAAAUUCUUGGAUUUAUUGAAGACUAACUAUUGCGAAAGCAUUUGCCAAGGAUGUUUUCAUUAAUCAAGAACGAAAGUUAGGGGAUCGAAGACGAUCAGAUACCGUCGUAGUCUUAACCAUAAACUAUGCCGACUAGGAAUCGGGCGACGUUAUUUUCAUGACUCGCUCGGCGCCUUAUG